GCACAGAAAAAGCUGGACUAAAUUGCUUUCUUUUCUAAAUAAUUAGAUACGUACAUUAAUAUUUUAUAUAAUUCAGAAAUUUUCAUUGCUUUAUUUCCAGGUUAUCCAGCUGCUUCCAUUUCCUGAACUUUCCUCGUGUCCAUUCCUUGUAUCUCGCUUACUUUCUCUUUCUUUCAUUUAUAAAUUAUAUUACCCAAAUCUACAUUUCUUGUUUUCAGGCUAUCAUUAUUGUUAUUUUUUUUCCCCCUCUUGAUAGCCUCCUUCUCUGCUCUUACCUUGCCCACAUCGGAUCUGGGUUUUCCUUAUCUUUCUCUUCAAGGGAUUGUAUGAGGAAAUUGGCAAUAUGGGUUUUCCAAGAAAAUAUAGCGAUGGAGGUGGAGUUUUUGUUUAUAUACUAGUUUCUGCUUGAUCAUUAGUGAACAGGCAAGACAGGCUUCUUUGCAAGUUAAAACUGGAAAGUGUUGUUGUUUACUUGAUGAAGUUAGAUAUCUUUAUUGGCACUUCUAGCCGUUACAUAUUGUGAUUUAGCAAAUUCCUCAAAAGUGUUGACUUUUGAGGAUUGAAUCUUCAAGUUCAAAGUGUCUUGUGGCUUAUAUAGGAGCUUUAGUCAUUUAGAAGUGAGAAGGAGGUUAAAAAGAAUAUCAGAUUCUGGGGCUUGAUAGCUGGAAUGGAUCAUAUAGCUCCACAGGAGAGAGAUUUUGAGAUUGAUCUUGAAAAUGGGUUGAAUAUUAGCACUCAAGAUACAAGCAAAGACUCUGUUGAUAGUGUAAAAACACAAGCAAAGGAGCUGCUUACUAAGAUUUGCAGCAUCUUUGUUGAUGAUACAAUUAAGGGUGAAUUGGGGAUAAAUCUAAGUCACGAUGCACCAAAUUCAAAUGGGAUUCCUGUGGAGCAACUGAAGUUGGAGGGAGAGAAGGCUAUUGAUCAUGCAGUUGCAGAGAAGAAAGUAGUAAAGGAGAAGCGUAAAAAAAUGGGUCAUAAAAAAUCUCCCAAGCCUCCUAGGCCUCCAAGAGGCCCGUCAUUGGACGCUGCAGACCAGAAGCUGAUCAAGGAGAUUACUGAACUUGCUAUGUUGAAACGUGCAAGGGUUGAGCGAAUGAAAGCCUUGAAGAAAAUGAAAGCUGCAAAGGGGUCGCCAUCCAAUGGCAAUAUAUUUGCAAUGGUGUUCACCGCUCUCUUUUGUCUGGUGAUCAUCUUUCAAGGAAUGUCAUCAAGAGUUUCACCUGUAAAUGUUCAGGGAACCCCUAUAUCCGCAGAAACAGCAGCGAGUGGUUUGAUUGCAGUACAAUACUUUGGUAAUCCAUCUGCAAGUGACCCAAUUUCACUUGGCAGUGGUUCUCCAAGUUCUGUAAAGCCAAUUGCUGGUUUUGAUCAUCCUGAAAAUCUGAGAAGAGCUGUGUGAUAAAAUAGAGAAAAUCUCGGUGUUACAGCCAAGCUUGAAUUUGAGAAAGAAUAUUGCUAAUCCCUGCAGUUUGUCAUGAAAGCUUUAUAUCACUUGAGCUUUUUGUACCGACAGCUCUCUGAAGUUUGAGAGUACUCGCUGCACGAGCUUCCAGAGUCCUCUGACAUCUGCAAUUGAAAUGAAGGUCUCAGAAAAAUCAUGGUGGAAUUUGCAUCCAAUAUUCCAUACUUAAAGAAUCCGAAGUGACCAUUUCUUACACCAUCAAUGGCUUGGGGAAGAAUGUAAUCAACAAUAGGGAUGUAUACUUCAGCGCAGUAUGUCAAGGCUCGUUCUAGCUCAGGGUUCGUGUUCUGGUCUAUUAUCUCCUGUGAGUAGUAUAGUGUAUGAGUUGCAUUAGACAGAGUGAUAUUAGCCAUCGUAGAAGCUAGACCUUUAACAUCUGCACUGGAGGCUUGGGAAUUUGAUUGCAGAGACGAGACACAGAGAUCAUAGUAGGGUGUUUUCUUGCAAGUUCUGUUUAUCAAAUCAUCACUUCGGAUUAAUGGCAGGAGAAAGACAAGAACUAUAACAAGCAAAGUAGAGGAUAAAGAGAUUGAAUGUGUCAUUUUUGUGGAGGAGGGUAGACUAAGCUACUAAGGCAACAGUUAUGGUUUGGCGAUUAACAGAAUUAUUAAGAGGGAGUUAGCUUUCUUUUUCUUUUACGAAUAAAACUUCAGUUGCAUAUGUUGUUAA